CCUACGGGUGGCAGCAGUGAGGAAUAUUGGUCAAUGGGCGAGAGCCUGAACCAGCCAAGUCGCGUGAGGGAGUACUGCCCUAUGGGUUGUCAACCUCUUUUGUCGGGGAGCAAAAGCCGGACGUGUCCGGCUGUGAGAGUUCCCGAAGAAAAAGCAUCGGCUAACUCCGUGCCAGCAGCCGAGGUUAUACGGAGGAUGCGAGCGGUAUACGGAUUUUUUGGGUUAUAAGGUGGCGUAGGCGGAAUAUCAAGUCAGCGGUAAAAAGUCGGGGCUCAACCCCGUCGUGCCGUUGAAACUGAUGUUCUUGAGUGGGCGAGAAGUAUGCGGAAUGCGUGGUGUAGCGGUGAAAUGCAUAGAUAGCACGCAGAACUCCGAUUGCGAAGGCAGCAUACCGGCGCCCAACUGACGCGGAAGCACGAAAGCGUGGGUAUCGAACAGGAUUAGAUACCCGUGGAGUC
rnacentral:rRNA from 1 species